rnacentral:rRNA from 1 species
ACAGAGGGUGCGAGCGUUAAUCGGAAUUACUGGGCGUAAAGGGUGCGUAGGUGGUUUGGUCAGUUAGGUGUGAAAGUCCUGGGCUCAACCUGGGGAUUGCGCCUAAUACUGCUGAGCUAGAGUACUGUAGAGGAAAGUGGAAUUUCCGGUGUAGCGGUGAAAUGCGUAGAUAUCGGAAGGAACAUCAGUGGCGAAGGCGACUUUCUGGACAGAUACUGACACUGAGGCACGAAAGCGUGGGGAGCAAACAGGAUUAGAUACCCUGGUAGUCCAUGCUGUAAACGAUGAAGACUGGCUGUUGGGUACCCAAGGGUACUUAGUAGCGAAGCUAACGCGUUAAGUCUUCCGCCUGGGGAGUACGGCCGCAAGGUUA